AUCAUAGAAGAUGAUGAGAUGAUCAACUAUAUUGUGAAUGCCUUGACUAUGAUUACAAUCCUUUUGUAUCUUCUAUUUUUGGCCGUAUUGGAUCUAUAUCUAUGAGUGAUAUGUACUCCCAGCUGUUAGCAUAUGAUA
rnacentral:snoRNA from 1 species